AAUUGGACUCAACGCCGGGCAGCUCACCGGAUAAGACAGCUGGAUGAUAGCCGGGCUGAAGACUCUGCUUGACUAGCUGAGAGGAGGUGCAUGGCCGUCGUCAGUUCGUACUGUGAAGCAUCCUGUUAAGUCAGGCAACGAGCGAGACCCACGCCAACAGUUGCCAGCAUGUCCUCCGGGAUGAUGGGGACACUGUUGGGACCGCCUCUGCUAAAGAGGAGGAAGGAAUGGGCAACGGUAGGUCAGCAUGCCCCGAAUUAUCCGGGCUACACGCGGGCUACAAUGGUCAGGACAAUGGGUAUCGACACCGAGAGGUGGGGGCAAUCUCCUAAACCUGUCCUUAGUUCGGAUUGUGGGCUGCAACUCGCCCACAUGAAGCUGGAAUCCGUAGUAAUCGCGUUUCAAAAUAGCGCGGUGAAUAUGUCCCUGCUCCUU
rnacentral:rRNA from 1 species